AACCAAAAGAACAAACCCUAAUUCAUUCUUUCCACUUCAGCCGCACCUCUCCUUCUUCUCCACUCUUUCUCUACGGUCUUUCUCCCUCAUCACUAUCUUCGUCUGCUUGACGUCGGAGCACUGCUAUCGUCGCCCUUUUCUCUCCCUUUGUCCAGUCACUGUGCCACAGACAAUGAAACUCUCAACUUCAGCCAUAGCCCAACCAUAAUCAAGCAUCGUCUUCCACCGCUCUCCCUUCUCGGCGAACUUUUCUCUCCUCUCUGGAUAGCGCAGAGACCAGUGCCGCUACCACUUCCUCUAUUCUCCCACAAGACAACCACCGAUAAGCCGCCAUGGAUGCCUGCAACCCGAUGCUGCCGUUUUUUUAGUCGCCGCUACCAUCUCAAAAAUCAUCUAGCCAAGCGCUCCGGUCAGUUUUGGCAAUGAUGAGUUCGUAAGAGCCCAUCGUAGGCUAUUACAAUAGGUCGAGAUCCAAGUCCAAGUGAGUUACAUUUGCACGUUCAUACACAUAAUCAUGAUGAAAGUAUUCUAGAGGCUUAGACAUGACCUCACAUCUAGAGUUUGAUAGUAGAUCUUGAUCCAAGGGUGAACACUAUGUCUCCAGGCUGCUAUGGGUCAUCUUAUCUAUUCUUGUCCAUCUUUCGGGCAAUAAAACAUUCUUUAUUUACUUUAUUUUUGAAUAUCUCUUUAGACACGAUCUUUGUUAGUAGUUCUUGUACGAUGACUUUUGAGUCUUGAGAAUUUUAGUAAGUAGUUUGUUUGACUUUUUCAUCAAUAAUGAUUAGUCCUGGAUUAUUAUUAUUAUGUUGAUUUUAUAAUAAUAUCUUCUUAAUAUUGAUUAAGUGAUUGAGUAAUGGUUUGGUUUGAUGGUUCUCCCACAGGAAGAUUAGUGUGGUUGCCACUCAGGGCCAUUUGGGUCGUGAAAACUAUUUCAACUAACAUGUGUCAUUUUUCAUGCCAAUCACCAAAAUCAUUCCAACAAUGUUCCUUGGAAGACCCUGCUUCCUUUUGGUCUCUGGACCAUUUGGAAAAAUAAAUACAAUGACACUUUCAAUAAUAAGUUUGAUAAGCCCGUCUUUGUACAAACUUGCUCAGAAACUGUGGAAUGCAUCCAUCUGAACAAAUAUCAUCCUUUCUUCAACAAAAUGAUCAUUGUAAAUAUAAAGCGGAACUCCCCUGUCAGGGGUUACUACAAAUCGAACACUGAUGGCUCAUGCCUUGGUAAUCCUGACAAAGGUGGAAUUGGUGGAGUUUUCAGGAAUUACAUGGGUGAUUGGGAUUUGGGUUUUCACAAGAGCAAUCACAAAGCUACUAAUAUACAGAUGAAACUCUAAAUGAAGGUCUUAAACUAGUCAAGGCUAAGGAGGUUGGGAUGUCCGGUGGUGCAUCAUAAUUACAGAGAGCAAAAUAGGGCCGCAGAUGCCUUGGCCAAAAAAUAGGCAUGUUCAACAUAUUUUGCAACAACCUAAGAUUUUGUAGUUCAUCCCAUGUAUGUUCAUGCAUUAGUAUGAGCAUAGAUAUAUAUAAUUUUUGAAAGAAGGAUAAACUCUACUACUAAUCCUGGAAUGGAAUGUCCCAUGUACUUAAAUAAUUAAUUUGGACUAACUUAGCCGGGUAUUGCUUUUUGUUUUUAUGUAAUAAACUAUAUUUUACUAAAUACAAGUAUCCAGUUAAUCAAAAAAAAAAAUCAGAAUUGAACAAC